UCCCUCUAGCUUGUCCACCAUAAGUUCACCAAUGGCAGCCCCAAGUUUGUGUCCCAAGCCUUUUCAACCACUUGAAGUUUGGGGUAUAUGCUUUUGUGGAGUUAUAUGAAUGUAUGGUGGUCUAGAAACACUUUCUAGCUAUUUUAAUUCAAAGAAGAUCAAGGAUUUCUUCUUUGAAUCAAGAUGAGAAAUGAAGAGGAAGGGG
rnacentral:misc_RNA from 1 species